CGGGGUAUUGUAAGUGGCA
rnacentral:siRNA from 1 species